ensembl:misc_RNA 7SK 7SK RNA
UCUCUCCCGAAGCUGUGAGCUUGGUCGAAGAGGACGGCCUUCCAUGAAUAGAGACGGAAUAGUCUUCGGUCAAGGGUAUACGAAUAGCUGCGUUUCCCUGCUAGAACCUCCAAACAAGCUUUCAAGAACCAAAAUAUAUGUGCAAGAUUUGGUAUUUAAGU